rnacentral:lncRNA from 1 species
GCAGUCAAUGGCUCUAAACGCGGAGUCAGAAAUGACGUUCUGUCUCCCCGCCGGCGCGCUGUGGCAGUGAUGCGCGGCCACCCGAAACUUAUUCAAUAAAGCACGGCGAUUCCUCAA